GGUGGAAGGAAACAUCCGUGGGGCCACGAGCUGGGUGCAUUUAGUAACUCUACCCCACGUCCCCUGUGAAAGUCUGAGACCGGGGCCAAAAGCAGCCCCAAUAGGGCCCUCCCUGAGCUUAUGUAAGGUAAGUUCCCAGAGAAGGAACCUCUGGGGCUAGGGCAGAGGGGACAGGAGAUGCCGUGUAUCCGCCCUCGGGGAGAGUCCUAGCAGAUGACCGCUUAACCUGUGCUUGGAACAGACUCGUGGCCUACGUACGAAGUGAGUUCAAUGGCUGAGUUGAGGUACCCUACAUGGGGGCAUUAUAACCCAAUUCAGACUACUUUCCCCCACC
rnacentral:RNase_P_RNA from 1 species